rnacentral:rRNA from 1 species
AUUGAACGCUGGCGGCAGGCCUAACACAUGCAAGUCGAACGGUAGCACAGAGAGCUUGCUCUCGGGUGACGAGUGGCGGACGGGUGAGUAAUGUCUGGGAAACUGCCUGAUGGAGGGGGAUAACUACUGGAAACGGUAGCUAAUACCGCAUAACGUCGCAAGACCAAAGAGGGGGACCUUCGGGCCUCUUGCCAUCAGAUGUGCCCAGAUGGGAUUAGCUAGUAGGUGGGGUAACGGCUCACCUAGGCGACGAUCCCUAGCUGGUCUGAGAGGAUGACCAGCCACACUGGAACUGAGACACGGUCCAGACUCCUACGGGAGGCAGCAGUGGGGAAUAUUGCACAAUGGGCGCAAGCCUGAUGCAGCCAUGCCGCGUGUAUGAAGAAGGCCUUCGGGUUGUAAAGUACUUUCAGCGGGGAGGAAGGUGUUGUGGUUAAUAGCCACAGCAAU